GAUGAAGAACGCAGCGAAAUGCGAUAAGUAGUGUGAAUUGCAGAAUUCAGUGAAUCAUCGAAUCUUUGAACGCACAUUGCGCCCCUUGGUAUUCCAUGGGGCAUGCCUGUUCGAGCGUCAUUUGUACCUUCAAGCUUUGCUUGGUGUUGGGUGUUUGUCCAUUCUCUUGCAGAGGGACUCGCCUUAAAGUAAUUGGCAGCCAGUGUUUUGGUUUUGAAGCGCAGCACAAGUCGCGAUUCAAAGCUAUACGCCCGCUUCCACAAGCCUUUUUCACUUUUGGCCUCGGAUCAGGUAGGGAUACCCGCUGAACUUAAGCAUAUCAAUAAGCGGAGGA
rnacentral:misc_RNA from 1 species